GACACAGAAGGAUAGGGAAUCGCACGAAUGGAAAUGUGCGUCCAAGCAGUGAGUGUGAGAAGUAGGCAAAUCCGCUUCUCGCGAAGCAUGAGCUGUGAUGGGGAAGGAAAUUAAGUACGGAAGUUCCUGAUUUCACGCUGUCAAGAAAAGCCUCUAGGAAGAGUAGUACUGCCCGUACCGCAAACCGACACAGGUAGAUGAGGAGAGAAUCCUAAGGUGAGCGAGAGAACUCUCGUUAAGGAACUCGGCAAAAUGACCCCGUAACUUCGGGAGAAGGGGUGCUCUAUUAGGGUGCAAGCCCGAGAGAGCCGCAGUGAAUAGGCCCAGGCGACUGUUUAGCAAAAACACAGGUCUCUGCAAAACCGUAAGGUGACGUAUAGGGGCUGACGCCUGCCCGGUGCUGGAAGGUUAAGAGGAGUGCUUAGCUUCGGCGAAGGUACGAAUUGAAGCCCCAGUAAACGGCGGCCGUAACUAUAACGGUCCUAAGGUAGCGAAAUUCCUUGUCGGGUAAGUUCCGACCCGCACGAAAGGCGCAACGAUCUGGGCACUGUCUCAACGAGAGACUCGGUGAAAUUAUAGUACCUGUGAAGAUGCAGGUUACCCGCGACAGGACGGAAAG
rnacentral:rRNA from 1 species